UACGAAGGGGGCUAGCGUUGCUCGGAAUCACUGGGCGUAAAGCGCACGUAGGCGGACUCUUAAGUCGGUGGUGAAAUCCUGGAGCUCAACUCCAGAACUGCCUUCGAUACUGGGAGUCUCGAGUCCGGGAGAGGUGAGUGGAACUGCGAGUGUAGAGGUGAAUUCGUAGAUAUUCGCAAGAACACCAGUGGGCCGAAGGCGGCUCACUGGCCCGGUACUGACGCUGAGGUGCGAAGCG
rnacentral:rRNA from 1 species